UNGUAGGAGGUUUGUUGCGUCGUCUGUGAAAUUCCGGGGCUUAACUUCGGGGUGNCAGGCGAUACGGGCAUAACUAGAGUGCUGUAGGGGAGACUGGAAUUCCUGGUGUAGCGGUGGAAUGCGCAGAUAUCAGGAGGANCACCGAUGGCGAAGGCAGGUCUCUGGGCAGUAACUGACGCUGAGGAGCGAAAGCAUGGGGAGCGAACAGGAUUAGAUACCCUGGUAGUCCAUGCUGUAAACGGUGGGCGUUAGGUGUGGGGACCGGUUUGGUUUCUGUGCCGUAGCUAACGCAUUAAGCGCCCCGCCUGGGGAGUACGGCCGCAAGGCUAAAACUCAAAGGAAUUGACGGGGGCCCGCACAAGCGGCGGAGCAUGUGGAUUAAUUCGAUGCAACGCGAAGAACCUUACCUGGGUUUGACAUGCACCAGACGGUUGUAGAGAUACGUACCUCCCUUUGUGGUUGGUGUGCAGGUGGUGCAUGGUUGUCGUCAGCUCGUGUCGUGAGAUGUUGGGUUAAGUCCCGCAACGAGCGCGACCCUUGUCUCAUGUUGCCAGCACUUUGAGUGGGGACCCAUGAGAGACUGCCGGGGUUAACUCGGAGGAAGGUGGGGAUGACGUCAAAUCAUCAUGCCCUUUAUGCCCAGGGCUUCACACAUGCUACAAUGGUUAGUACAACGCGCGGCAAACCUGUGAGGGUGAGCGAAUCGCUGAAAGCUAAUCUCAGUUCGGAUUGGGGUCUGCAACUCGACCCCAUGAAGUCGGAGUCGCUAGUAAUCGCAGAUCAGCAAUGCUGCGGUGAAUACGUUCCCGGGCCUUGUACACACCGCCCGUCACGUCAUGAAAGUUGGUAACACCCGAAGCCCAUGGCCUAACCACCAUUUUUUGGUGGGGGG
rnacentral:rRNA from 1 species